AUUGCACGCUAGCGGGCUGCUUUACCCAUGCAAGUCGAACGCGUGGCGGAAGGGUGAGUAAUAUAUCGGAACGUGCCCAGUAGCGGGGGAUAACUACUCGAAAGCGUGGCUAAUACCGCAUACUAUUGGAGCGACCGAUCGCGGAUUAGAUAGUUGGUGGGGUAAAGGCUAACCAAGGCAACGAUCCGUAGAUGGUUUGAGAUGACGACCAGCCACACUGUGACUGAGACACGGCCCAGACUCCUACGGGAGGCAGCAGUGGGGAAUGUUGGACAAUGGGGGAAACCCUGAUCCAGCCAUCCCGCGUGUAUGAGAAGGCCUUCGGGUUGUAAAGUACUUUUGGCAGAGAAGCGGUAUCUGCAGAAUAAGCACCGGCUAACGACGUGCCAGCAGCCGCGGUAAUAC
rnacentral:rRNA from 1 species